rnacentral:rRNA from 1 species
CAAGUCGAACGAGACUUUUCGUUGUAGCAAUACGAUGGAAAGUUUAGUGGCGAACGGGUGCUUAACACGUGGGCAACCUGCCGGGAAGUGGGGGAUAGCUCGCCGAAAGGCGAAUUAAUACCGCAUGUGAUUAGAGAGGACAUCCUUUCGAAAUUAAAGUCGGGGCAACCUGACGCUUCUUGUGGGGCCCGCGGCCUAUCAGCUAGUUGGUGAGGUAACGGCUCACCAAGGCUUUGACGGGUAGCUGGUCUGAGAGGACGACCAGCCACACUGGGACUGAGACACGGCCCAGACACCUACGGGUGGCAGCAGUCGAGAAUUUUUGACAAUGGGGGAAACCCUGAUCGAGCGACGCCGCGUGGAGGAUGAAGGUCUUCGGAUUGUAAACUCCUGUCAUUGGGGAACAAGGUGCAUACGUUAACUGCGUGUGCAUUGAUAGUACCCGAAGAGGAAGAGACGGCUAACUCUGUGCCAGCAGCCGCGGUAAUACAGAGGUCUCAAGCGUUGUUCGGAUUCAUUGGGCGUAAAGGGUGCGUAGGCGGCGCGGUAAGUCGGGUGUGAAAUCUCGGAGCUUAACUCCGAAACUGCAUUCGAUACUGCCGUGCUUGAGGACUGGAGAGGAGACUGGAAUUUACGGUGUAGCGGUGAAAUGCGUAGAUAUCGUAAGGAAGACCAGUGGCGAAGGCGGGUCUCUGGACAGUUCCUGACGCUGAGGCACGAAGGUCAGGGGAGCAAACGGGAUUAGAUACCCCGGUAGUCCUGACAGUAAACGGUGCACGUUUGGUGUGGGAGGAUUCGACCCCUUCUGCGCCGGGAGCUACGCGUUAAACGUGCCGCCUGGGGAGUACGGUCGCAAGAUUAAACUCAAAGAAUUGACGGGGGCCCGCACAAGCGGUGGA